GCGCGAGCUCGGUGGACGGGAGCUCAGUGCGGCGUUCGUAAGGAACUCUCGGUGCGGCUGAGGCCCGAGGGAAAGAAGCCGGCCUGGAAUCCUCCUGGGGUGAAAAACAGCACGUGGGUGUGAGUGUGUGAGGCUCCCAUAGAGCGUGUGACACCCCUAAUGUGAUUUUAUCAAUACGUUCACCAAUUCAUUCCAUCUCCUUAACUCCCCCCUUAGCACCCCCGAGUACGGGAAACACAGGAAACAACUUCAUUCUUAAACACUCAUGUAUAUAUACCUAGCCGAUGAGUAUUUAAAGGCAUAGCCACGCUGUCACAUCGAAGAAAGGAACAAUUCUUUACACAUUGCCAAUAGCGCCCUUUUACAAUUGGUUUGGGGCAUCCAGAUAAACCAAGGUCACCCUGUUCCACCGGGAUCACGUGUGAAAGUGUCUCACUUGACGGCUUUAAAAUUAGCUAACAACAAAGGUUUGGUUGGCAUAAGGCAGUAUGGCUGCGUGCCCUCACUUGGUGAUUGUCAGUCGAUUUUCAUUUGUCUAGCUCAAAAGAUUGCUGUGCUUCUACCAUGUGCCAAGAUGUAAAGCUUGCCUUCUAACUCGUUUUUUCCGAUAGUAAACCUGGUCCGUUGAAACCUGAACUGGUAAACAAAUGCUUGACGUAAGUCUGCCAAUCGAGGUAAUAUGCCUUUCUUGUCAUUUUUCCUGGUCGAGUUGUGGAAAGCCUUCCUUCACUGCCAUGCCAAGGACGUCUGAAAUUUAGCCUGAAAACUCUGAGGGGUCUGAUGAGAAGUUAAGGUGCUCCUCCUACCAUUCAACAUGCUCCUUCACCUGUGACAUUUUCCUUGAUUCAUAACCUGGUGAACCUUGUCUUAUUGGAGGCCCCACUCUGCUUGUUUUGUAGACGAGUAUGAUAUAUAAUAUGAAUGCUCUUCUCAAAUGUGAGUCUAAAUUCUUUAUCUGGCUUUGAAAACUUAUUUGCAGGUUCUAGUAAACGAUCACAGCUAUACCUAGACCAAAGACAAGUCUCCCUCUAUUGGGGAAGGUCAUCCUUUUUGACCAAAUAUCUGGUUUCAUAGGACAAUGAAGAGGAAAGGGAACACCCAACUAGACACCCAGAUCAGCCAAAUCAACCCUGUUGACAGAUGUCAAGGCUAGAUUCACUUACGACUUUGGGUGUUACACCCCCCCCACCCCGCAAUAAUUCAAGAGCGUAAUUCCUAUUACCGUUUAAAGGUUGGCCAGGAAUUUUCUCUCAUGUAAUACUAUGAAAUGCCUUUCUCCACUUUUUACCAAUUUGAGAUGUUCCUAUAAAACAGUAUAAAAGUGCGAAGUUAGACAAUAUAAGCCGGUAGCCUGGCUCUGCCUUCUUUUAACAGGGAGCUGUAGCAAUUUAUUUUUCUGAGGUUAUUUCCUUAGUGUAAGAUGGUAUUAAUAGUAUUUACGGUCUGGGGAUGUGGCUUAGUUGGUAAAGUGCUUGUGUAGAGUGCACAAAGACCCUGGGUUCAGUCUCUAGAAAAAAAGAAAAAGAGAUGCUAGAAACACAAAAGGCAACUUUUGAUUCAGCUGCUCUAAAUUUCUCAUUUAGGCUGCCCUUUGGCUUUGUAACAAAUCAGUGAAUAAAUUGGCUUUUUGAGGUCCCGAUUCUGUCCCCAGAACCACUUGAAUGCAGUGUGGUAGCUCACACCUGUAGUCCUAACCCUUGAGAAUAAGAGCAAUGAAGUGUUAGCUUUAUUUUUGGCCCACUUACCCACAGGCUGUUUCUGCCGUCUGUAUUCACCGCCCUAGCUGGCUGUCCUGCGCUUCCUCAAGUCCUCCACUAUGUGAUUAAUGCUCUUCAGUCUUUCUCAUGUUCUCACAUUCCUAGGUGUCCUGCCUGCUGAUUUGCUGCAUUUCUUUCCCCUUUCGGCCAGUUUCUGCUGCACACGAAAGCAAGUUCCUUUGUGUAGUUACUAUUUUUAUCUCAUUUCUGUCCAUGAACAGUUGAAAACAGCAGGCUCUCCCCUUUGGUUUCACUUUUAGUUUAGUUUAUCCUUUUUCUUUUUGCUUUGUUGUAAGGGGAAAAAUUCUUCACUUGAUUCCAUUUCAGCUUAUGAUAUUCUGGUGACCAGUGUCUGGAAAUUCCCUCAGCCCUGUCAUUUUAUUUGUUUAUUACUUACCUCUAAACAACCGCUUUUUAUUUUCAUUUAUUUAUAAUGUUUUGUUCACUUUUGAGUUGUAAUUGUAGUCAGCAUUUUAUCUGCUAAUUUCGUAGGGCUACAAGUUAUUUCAGAAUAGCUCUGUGCAUCAUCUGCCACGUGCUGUCGUCCCUGAUAUCGUGAACCUGACUUAAACCUGUGUCAGCGUGAGCAUUGUUGCACUUCAGCCAUUUUCUGCGUUUCGGAGAUGCUUCAUUUAAUUUGGCUCGAUUAUUUAGUUAAUGCCAGGAAAGAGGAAAUACCUUCAUCUCAUUUCAUGACUCAGGAUCCUAAAAUGCUGAGUCACAGUGCAUAUGAUGGCUGUUCUCAUUAGGCAAAUAAUUGAGUUUGAGGCUAAAGUGAUUUCCGAUUUCUGCCAGGUGUCCACUGUUGUUCAAAUCCUUUAUUUUAUUUGAUUCAGUAUGCUUGUGAUUGGGUGCUAUUGGGUUGAGAUAAGGGCAUGGAUAGGGCCUAGGGAAGGUGUGUAUGAAUUACAUUGUUAUAUUUUGAAGGCCAUUCCUAUUCACAGGUAAUUAAAUGUAGAAAUGUGCAAUUGAUUAUUUUAGUCAACACUGUAUAUAUCAUUCAGGCUACUCAGAAAGUAGUUCUGCUUUCUGCCUUUAACUAGCUCUUCGUUUUAUUUAACUUUAAAUUUUUCUUUUCUCAGGGCUGACCAUUUGGUACUGGAUAACCAGUUGGUUUCUCUUCCCUCAGUUGCCUGAGGUUCUUUGUGUAGAGCUGAGGCUUCGUGGCAUCUCCCCGUCAUCUUCAGCAUGUCUGUUGCUGUUGUCCUUGCUCAGCCCACGGUUAGGCAGCCACGUGGGUGAGACUGUGGGUGUAGCUUCUGACCUUAGUGGAGAUACAGUCGCACAGCAAACUCCCUGAUCCUCUGGCUCUUACAGUCUUUCCAUCCCCUCUUUCUCAAUGUUCCCUGAGCCUUAGGUUCAAAAGUUGUUUGGUAGAUGUAUCCAUUGGGUCUGGGCUCCACAACUCUGUGCUUUGAUUGGUUGUGGUUUUCUUAAUGGCCCCUGUCUGUUGCAAAGAGGGGCUUCCUUGAUGAGGAUCGAGGACUGCACUUACCUGUGGGUAUUAGGAUAAAUAUUUAGAAUGUAGUUAGGGCUUAGUGAAGUAGUGGUUGUAGGUUCUCCUCCAAGAUCCAUGACUUCACCAGGACGAAAGAGGCUAGGUUUCCAGUACCAGGAAGGUUCUCUGUUGUUGAGCAGAUCUUGAGUCUAACUAGAGAGCUGUUGGUUAGCACCAAGGUGUGUGUGCUACUGCCGUACACUAGGGCUGCUGGGCCAUGCUGGCUGCUGUUGUAGUUCACAGGCAUCACAGCGGGGCAGGACUCUUCGCUGGUUGCUUCCCUCCUUUGGAAGCUUGCAUGGCAAUCUUCUGCUGCUGUGAAAGCUAGUCCUCAAGGAGGCUUGCUUUCUUUUUAAAGAUGGGGGUCUUUUUUAAAUUCCUUAAGAGUUUCGUACAUGCAUAUGUUUUAAUCAGAUCCAUCCCCCAUUUCUUCCCUUCCAGUUUCUCCCUUAUCCUCUCUACCACUUUUUCCUCCUAACUUCAUGUACUCUUUUUAAAAAGAAAUUUAUUGUAUGUGUGUAUGGGUAUUUUGCCUGUGUGAAAGUCUGUAUGCCACUUGUGUGCCUGGUGCCCACAAAGAUCUGUAAAGUAUUUUGGGUCGCCUAGAACAGGAGUUACAGAUGGUCUGGAGCUGUCAUGUAGGUACUGGCAGUCAAACCCAGGUCCUCUGCAAGAUAGCCAGUGUUCUUAACCCCGGAGCCCUCACUGAGCGCUUUCAGAGCCACCUAUAUGUGACGGGUGUAGGGCCAUCUGCAUGGUAACCUCUGAGUUACCUCUACAUCCCUGAAGAAAACUGACUCCCCCAGUGGUCAUCAGUUGUCAAUUCCACAGUUAUGGGUGGGAGGGACUUCUUGAUCCCCUCUCCCUUCCAUGCUGAAAUUGUGGCUGGCUUGAUCUUGUACGGGCAGUCCCAGUUGCUAUGAGUUCAAAUGUUCAAUGACCCUGUCAUACAGAAAAUACUGUUUUAUAGAAGUUAUCCACUACCUUUGGUUCUUACAGUCUUUCUGCAUUUUCUCUUUGUGAUGAUCCCUGAGCAUUGCUGGGGGUGGGUAACAGAGAUGUUAAAAGGUUGAGCUCUUCGUGGUCUCUUAUUCUCUGCAUGUUGACUAACUGUGAGUCUCUGUAUUAGUUGUCAUCUACAGGGAAAAGAAGCGUCUCUGAUACAGAUUGAGAGAUGUUAUAAUAUAUGGGUAUACAGAUAAGAACUCAGUGGGCAGUUUAUUACUAUGUCCACUUAGCAGAACAGUCGUGUUAGGUUCUUCCUUAGGGCAUAUGACUUAGCCAGCCACACGUUUUUGGCCCAGUUAAAAGUACCAGGCAUGAGUUCCAUUUUGUGGAGUGGAUCUUAUACCCAAUCAAAAAGUGGUUGGUUACUCCCAUAACAUUCAUGUUACUAUUGCACUAGUGGGCAUAUUUUACCAGGAUAAUUGUCAUACUUUGCAGGGCCCACAGCUGAGUAAGACUGUUGAUUAUUCUUUCCUCCAUUCCCCAGGUACCAUGCAUAGCACCUUCCAACAUUAUGAAAGCUAGCCAGUGUAGAACAAGCUUCCAGACUAGUACCAGUUUUAUUUCCCCAUGCAAGACAGAGUCUUACAUAGUUCAGGUUGGUCUCAAUCUUGCUAUGUUGCUAAGGAUGACCUUGGUCCUUCUGCUUUCACUUUCUGAGUGCUGGAAUUACGGGCAUGUGCACCAUGCCUGAUUUAUUUGGUAUUGGAGAUCGAACCCAGGGCUUCCUGCAUACUAGGAUAUAGUUCUAGAAAUUGAACUAAACCCCCAACUAGAUUUUAAUAUAUAAAAGGUGAUGAAGUUAAACUAUUUUUCAGUAUACAGAAGGUAUUAAUGGCUCUUGUUAUGAGGGUAUCAGAUCAUGUUAAGAUUUGCUGGGUACUCUGAAGAAAUGCACAUGAAAUUUGCAUCUUUGCACAAUCUCUGAAUACCUUGCAGUGCUUAAAUAAGAUUAUUCAUCAAGGGGACAGCAAGAUAGUAUAUUGUAUUCAAGCCCUACCUUUCAAACCCUGUUGAGGAUGGCAUCGAGCUUCUGAUUCUACUGACUGUACCUCUAGUGCGUACCUAGUUUUCGUAAUUUUUUCUAUCCUUCAUUCUUUUUUUCAAGACAGGGUCUUAGGUUGGCAUCUAACUCAUGAUCUCCUGCUUUAAUCUCAUAAGUGUAUGCCAUCACACUUGGCUCAAAUAUUUUAAUUAGAUUCAUUCAUUAUUCUGUGUGGUAUAUGGGCAUGGAAGCCCAUGUGGAGGUCAGAGAACAACUUUGUGGAGUCAGUUCUCUUCUUUAAGUCAUCAGGCAUGUACAGCAAGCACUUUUACCCACUAUGCCAUCCUGCUGACCCUUAGAUGUUUUAUGUUAUUGCAGUGGUAUAGGAAGCAGAGGAGUUGAUUGGUAAGUUCAGCUGUCUAAACAUUUGAGUUGGGAAAAUAAUGGAAAAGAGUGAAAUCCGAGGAUCUUUGAUCCCCAGUACAAUGAGUAUGUGGUGCACACUUGUAAUCUGAGUGCUGAGGAGUCAGGGAAAGGUAGAUUUCCUGGGGCUUGCUGAUUCGCCAGCCUCCUUAGCCUAGUCAGUGAGCUUCAGGCCAGUGAAUAGAUCCUGUCUCCAAAACCAAGGUGUGUGGAGGGAGGUAGUGGGGAGGGAAUAAGAGCCUCAUGAGGGUCAGGGGAACACACAACCAAGCCUGGUCUUCAUUGGGAGUUCCAGGCCAGCCAAGGCUAUGUAGUGAGAGCCUGUCUCAAAACAAGUAAACAACAAAAAGUGGGCUGUUCCUGAAGACUGGCAUCCAAAGUUAACCUCCGGUCUGCUGUGGGAUGUCUUUCUUUAUGCUGUGAAUGUGUGUGGUUUCCAUUGCAUAAUAAAUAAAGCUGUGUCGGCCUAUGGCAAGAAAGCUUACUGCCAGGUGGGAGAUUCAAGCAGAGAUAGAGAGAGAGGAAGGGUGGGGUUGAGAGACACCAGCCUGCUUCCCAAGGGGCAACAACGCCACAGCCAGGUGGCAAAACACAGAUUCAUAGAAAUGGUUAAUUUAAGAUGAUAGAGCUAGCUAGCAAGAAACUUAAGCCAUUGGCCAUACAGUUUGUAAUUAAUAUAAGCCUUUGAUUAUUUUAUUAGUGGCUGUAGGACCGUGGGGCUGGGUGGGACUGGAGAAACUUGUGGCUACACUGGUCUCCAAGUGCACUUACAUACAUGUGUGUACACCAUACACAUAUACACAAAAUUAUAGAGAAGGUAUGUCAAUAUUCAUUCAGUCAUAUAUACAGUGGCCCUACUAUGUGCCAGGUACUGUUCAGUGCUAUAGGUACCACCAUAAAAUAAAAUUCAUCCUUUUUUCAGAAGUUACAUCCUAGUGGGAAAGGCAGACAGAAAAUAAGUAACCCCAUAAGGUAUUGAAUGGUAAUGUGCCUUCUACAGAAAAAGAAAGGUGAAACCUUGAAAUUUAAGCUGAUCUGAACAAAGUGAGGCAGUUAGCUGUGAGGACAUUUGAGGAAAGAAAUCCCUAAAGGCAGAACAUGCCUGGCUUAUUACAGGAAAGAGGCCAGUAUGGCCAGGAGACAAUUUAGGAAGGUCUUGGAAGAGCUAAUGUCAGAAAAGUUGUGGGGAUUUGGAUCCGUUAUAAAUCUGACUAAAUCUGAGUGAGGUGGAAGGUCAUUUAAAGGUUCUGAUUAAAGAGAAAAGUCACAAGGGUUUUUGUUUGGUUUUUCUUUUCUUUUUCAAUGCUGGGGAUUACUCAGGACCUUUGCCUAUAUUGUGCAAUUGUAAUGCCUCUGAGCUAAAUCUUAAACCCACAAGUUGCAUCUUGAAACUAGCACUCAGCUUUAUUGAAAGCUGUUGUAAUGAAACCCAGUCUGAUGAGUCAGGAAAUGAUACCACAGACCUGAAUCCUAACACUCAGAAGGUGGGAACAAGAUCCCAAGUUCCAGCCCAGGCUGGGCUAUGGAGCAAAAUUCUGUCAUAAAAAUCCAAAAUAGGGGCUGGAUAGAUAGCUCAGAACUUAAUGUUCUAAAAAAGGACCCGAGUUCAGUUCCCAGCAUUCAUGUCAAGCGGCUCACAACCAUCUGUAAUUCCACCUUCAGGGACUCCAAUAUCUUUGGCCUCUGUGGGCCCCAGCACAUGCAUAUAUACACAUCAUUUAGAAAAUAAUAAAGUGCAUAAAAUAUAUAUAUGAUAUAUAUAUAUAUCAUAUAUAUAUAUAUAUAUAAAACAAUAUAUAGCAUGUAUAUAUACACACAGAAUAAACAGGAGCCAGGAAAAAGGCUCAGAGGGUAAAGGUACUUGCCUCCAGGCCUGAUGACCUGCAUUCAAUCCCUGGGUCCCAUAUGGUAGAAGGAGAAAAACUGAUUCUUUUUUUUUUUUUUAAUAUUUAUUUUGUGUGUGUGGGUGCUUUGUGUGCAUGGGUGUCUGUGCACCAUGUGUGUGCCUGGUGCCCUUGGAGGCCAGAAGAAACCAUCAGAUCCCCAAGAACUAGUGUAACAGAUGAUUAUGAUCCACCAUGUGGGUGCUGGGAAUCGAACUCAGAUCUACUGGAAGAGCAGUAGUGCUCUAAACCAAUGAGCCAUCUCUCCAGCCCCAGAAAACUGAUUCUUGAAAGUUGUUCUCUGACCUCCAUAUGCAUGCUAUGGUAUGUAACUGUACAGGUGCACACACAUAAAUAAAUGUAAUAAACUUUUUAAACCCCAAAUAAUAAAAAGACCCAGGUUAGAAAUUAUUUGGACUAAUGUAGAAAUGAUAGCAUUAGUGAAGAAUGGUUAAAUUCUGGAUAUAUUUGAACUUAAAGUGGAAAAGAGGGUGAGGCAAAAAUAAACAUUCACUUAAACUAUUAAUAUAGCCCAUGUGGUGGCUCAGGCCUCUAGUUUCAGUAACAAGGCAGGAGGAUUGCUAUUAGUUUGAGGCAAUCCUGUCUCAGAAAACAAAAUACCCACUAUCAACAAACAAAUUGUGUUGUCUACGUCUCCUGUUUCUGUGAUAAAAUACAAUACAAAAGCAACUUAAGGGAGAAAGGUUUAUUUUGGUUCAUAAUUUGAGACUACAGUUCAUUGUGACAUAGAAGUCAAUGCAACAGGAGCUUGAGUUGAUCAUAUUGUAUCCAUAGUCAAGAAGCAGAGAUCGAUGGGUGGUGCCUUUUUAAUACCAGCACAUGGGAGGCAGAGGCAGAAGGAAUGCUGUUUACUGGCUUACUCCUCAUUACACAGUCAGCCUGCUUUCUUAUGGAACCCAGGACCACCAGUCCAGGCAUGGCCCCACCCACAAUGGGCUGAGCCCUCCCCCAUCAAUCACUAAUUAAGAUGAUACCUGUACAGUUACAUCUAAGUUGGAUCUUAGGGAGGAAUUUUCUCAAUUGACAUUCCCUUCUCUCAGGUGACUAGCUUGUGUCAAGUUGACUAGCCAGAAGGAUAAUGCAUUAUUUACUUCUUUGUCUUUUGGUAUUUUGAGAUAGGAUGCCACUGUGUAGCCUUGGAUAGCCUGAAACUUUCUAUGUAGCCCAAACUUUAGACCUUUUUUGCCUCAGCAGAUUGAGUCUGGAGUGACCAAGAGAAACAUUGUUUUACAUCAUCCUCUUGUGAACCAAGUGAUGAUGGCAAUUUAAUCCAGAAGGAACUUCUCUAAAAAGUUUAAAAGACAGGCUAAAAAUAUAAGUGUGUGGAUAAUUAGGAGGAAGGAGGUGAGUAAGAGGAGUAGCCGGGAUAGGAGGGAGCCAAGAGCCCAUCCAGAGGAGGAGGCUUGGUGAAUUCUAUGUCUGUUGGGUGUAGAAGCAGCAUUGUUUCUGGAGGAGCACAAGUCCCUCUGUUGGCACACUCGGGAAGUCUAGUCCUCUUUGAUUUUGGCUUGGGCAUUUAAGACACUAGGCCUGUAUUUCGCUACUGCAGGUGGACACUGCAGUGUUGGAUUGAGCCAAGGUCAGGUCUUAUAUAUGAGCAAUAUUUCUUUCUUGAGAAUUAUUAGUGAGAGAUACAGUGAUAUCUGAGGAGUGCAGUCCCUUGGACUGUCUAAGAAAUGUGCUGAUUAUUUUAAUCCUGGUUAUACUUGUCUGCUGGGUGUUUUAGGCCAUGCAGGUGACCAAAAUGAAUUACUUUCAUUUUACUUCCAAUUCCAGUUGAAGAUCUAGACCUCAGGGGUCAGGCUCUUGGGUUUGGGAGGAUCCUAGGCUCCUCUAGUCGUUCCUCUGCCACUUGUUCCAUCUCUGUGAGGGUAACUUGAGGCCUUUGGUAACCAUUGUUUCACUUGGAAGUACGGAAGAAAUUUCUCCUCGUUUGACCCUUCCUCUUUAUAGACUAGACACUGGUUAGAAUUCACCAGAUACCUCUCCACACUCUCCUGAACAAGAAAUAGGUGACUCUUCAUGGUUACAGAAUAUUCCAAGAGAUGCUCCCACAGUUCCUUGGGAUGUAGUUGACCUUGGAGGGGGAACUUCUUUUAAUCCUUUUGACCACAUCAAUAUAGACCUCUAAAUAUGGUUACUGAACACCUAGAAGGUAAGUCACACCAGGCUGGUAUUUUAAUUACUGUCUAAUAUUUUAAAAACCACACUUUUCUAAAUAGUUUAAAGAGAUACAUUUUAGCCAGGUGGUGGUGGCACACACCUUUAAUCUCAGCAGUGGUUUACAGAGAGUUCCAGGAUAGCCAGGGCUACACAGAGAAACCCUGUCUAAAAAACAAACAAACAAACAAACAAAACAAAGGCAAACAAAAAACCGUUAAUGCCAUAUGCAUCCUCUCUAAAUUUCACCCUUUAUAUCUCUUAACUAACUCACUCAGACCUUUACAACUUAUACCAGCUUUCUCAUUCUGGAAAUAUACCCAGCCAUCUCAAUCAUCAUACAAAAAUGCUUUACUAAAACAAUUUAAAUGUUUUUUUUUUUUUUUUUUGUUUUUACUGAUUACUACCCUUUCCCCCCAAGAGGGUUUCUCUGUGUAGCCCUGGUUGUCUUAGAACUCUCUCUGUAGAUCAAGCUGUCCUUGAACUCACAGAUCCAUCUGCCUCUGUCUCACAAGUACUGGGAUUAAAAGCAUGUACCACCAUGUCUAGCCUAUGAUUUUCUUUCUUAAUAGCAUAGACAUAAUAACUUUAAUAAAUAAAUUUUCCAUUUGUUGUGAGGAUUUUCUUCUGGGGUGUUGAAGAGAACUAAGUGAGGUCUAUCCCUUUCUCAUAAAGACCCAAUGACAAACGGAAGUUUGAUUUCAUCAAAGAUGAACUUGGAGAACCAGUGAGUUUAUUGGGUUUACUUACAGAACAUGAGUGAGGGGUUCUUGACAGGAGUGUUGAUGACCCAAAAGCAGUUACCCUGGAAAGGCUUCACCCAGUAUUAUGAGGGCUUCCCCAUACUUAACACAGGGAGAACCAGAGUUUAACUUGGAAGAUCCUGUACUUAUAACUAGUUUGUGUGGGCCUGCAGACAGGCAGACAACCUGAAAAACUUAACAUAUCUGUAUAUAUUUUUUAAUGUUCCCUUUUCAUCUUGUCCCUAGGACAGAUGAAGUUGAGACACCCAGCAUCCUAAGAGGUAGACAUUAAUGGCCUUUGACUCUUACCUGCUGGACAGAUCAAGGUCGUGCCUGAAGCUGAAGAGAUAGAACCUGCAGUGGGUUAAAGUCCUGUUGUUUGUUGUGAUGUUCUGUAAACUAAAGUCACCUCUUGUCUGUGUAGAGGGGAGUGUCCCUCUGUCCCAACACAUCUCAAACAAUAGCCUGAGGAAAUGUUAGCUGAUGAUAGUGCACCAGGCCUGGCUUGGCCUGACAUAAGCUCUGAGAGUUCCCAGCAGCUGGAGGAGGGAAGGCAAGGCACAUGUUCUUCCAAUCGAAACAGAAAGGAGAGGAAUUCCUCUGCACCAUGCUCCCUGACCUUAUGAUUGUUUUCUUACUCUGUAAGAAAGUGCACAUUUCAGUUUCAGAAAUCCGAUAGAUAGGAAGCAAGCAUGAUAAGCACUCAUGGUGAUCCUCUUUUUCUUUUCUUUUUUUUAUUUAUAGAGAAUUAUCUUCAUUGGGAAAACCUUUUUUUUCUAUAUUUUCAUUUUUUUUACAUACCAACCACAAUUUCCCCUCCCUCUUCCCCUCCUGUUCCCUCCUCCCACCUCCUUCCUGUCCCCUGCCCCCAUCCAGGCUUCCAUUCAGAAAGAGGCAGGCUUCCCAUGGGAGUCAACAAAGCAUGUCAUAUCAAUUUGAGGCAGGACCAAACUCCUCCCCCUGUAUCAAGGCUGGGCAGUGCAUCCCAGCAUGGGGAAUAGGUUCCAAAAAGCCAGCUCAUGCACCAGGGAUAGGUUCUGAUCCCACUGGUAGGGACCCCACAAACAGACCAAGCUAUACAACUGUCACCCACAUGCGAAGGGCCUGGGUUGGUUUCAUGCAGGCUCCCUAGCUGUCAGCCCAGAGUCUGUGAGCUCUGACUAGCUCAGGUCAGCUGUCUCUGUAGGUUCCCCCGGCAUGAUCUUGACCCCCCUUGCUUGUACAAUCCCUCCUCCCUCUGUUUAACUGGACUCCCAGAGCUCAGCCCAGUGCUUGGCUGUGGAUCUCUGCAUCUGCUUCCAUCAGUUACUGGAUGAAGGCUCUUUAAUGACAAUUAGCGUAGUCACCAGUCUGAUUACAGGAGAAGGCCAGUUCAGGCACUCUUUCCACUAUUGCUAGGAGUCUUAGCUGGGGUCAUCCUUGUGGAUUGUGGGAGUUUCCCUGGCACCAGGUUUCUCCCUAACCCCACAAUAGCCCCCUCAAUCAAGAUAUCUCUUCCAUUUCUCUUCCCACUCUGUCCUGCCCCCAACUCUACCAACCAGUCAGUCCCUCAUGUUCCCAUCUCCCCAUCCUCUGCCUUCCACUCUCCCCCUCCCCCUGCCCCCAGUUUACCCAGGAGAUCUCUUCUAUUUCUCCUUCCCUGGGAAAUCCUUGUGUCCUUCUCUCUUAGGGUCCUUCUUGUUGCCUAGGGAAAGCUUCCUUUCAAUCACCACAUGUAAACUGGGUUUAAGUCCCUUUAAGAUAAAGAAUAUUAAACACAGGGAAAAAAAUCUAAGAACUCAGAAGGUGAUGCAUUUUAAUCUUUUUCUAUACUGUGGGGCAGCCAGUGCCUGGCAGUUUGUCCUUUGGGUCCCUGUUGGAAUCUGUGCUUUACCAGUAUUCUGCUGUUGGUGCCUGCAAAUUUCAGAGUGUUAGCUCUCUUUGUUAGGAGGCCAGUGUUGGAGGCAUGUGGUGGGAAAAUGCUUCAUGUUUUUUGUUUUGUUUUGUUUUAGUUUGGUUUGUUGAGACAGGGUUUCUCUAUGUAGCUUUGGAGCCUGUCCUGGGACUCACUCUGUAGACCAGGCUGGCCUUGAACUCACAGAGAUCUGCCUCUCUCUGCCUCCUGAGUACUGGGACUAAAGACGUACCACCACUGCCUGGUCUCUUCAGUUCUCUUUAGAAUCCAGUAAAUAAUGUCAUUUAAAAACAGUGUUACAACUAAAACAAAACACUGAAAAUUAAAAAAAAAAAUCUUGACUGUCUGGUAUUACCUCCUUAUUCUGAUUAAAAAAAAAAGAGGGGUGCAGUAAUCCCCCGAGGGCUCAGUGGGAUGGGGAAGUUUUAUGGUGCCAGUAUUUUGGUUUAUGCCAUGUGGUUAUAGUAACCAAGAUGGUGGUGAAGUCACGUAGCAUUUGCUGUCUUUAUGAUGUCAUUAGCCAAGAUGGUGGUAAACCACAAGGUUGUUUUCUGCUUAUGAGCUCAGCUCCAUGAUAAAGCAAGCCCAUUCCCCAUCAGGGCAUGGGUCCCCAUGAGAACCCCAUAAGUGAGCCCAUCCUCCAUUAGGGCAUGGCUCUCUGUGGGAUCCCCACAGAUUAAAUCUGGACAGUCUUGUUUACGUUGGGAUGAAGGUCCAAUGACCCUCCUUUCUCCCUCCUCCUACAAAGGAAGACCUACACUCAGCAAGCCAAUCAUCACAAUCUUUUAUAAGCCUCCAUAGAUACUCUUAUGGAGAUGGUAGUUGUUCGGCCUAGAAGUUAGUGUUGUGUAAUACCAUCUUAAUAAAGAAAGUUCAAUCCAAACUACAUAUACAGGUGUGGUGGUUUGAUUGGAAAUGGUCCCCUUAGGCUCAAAUAUUUGGAUGCCCCCUCAGUUGCCCGCCCCCUGCAGUUGGUGGAACUGUUUUGGAAGAUUAGGAGUUGUGGGCUUGUUGGAGGCUGUGUGUCACUGGGGGUGGACUUGGAAUUUUAAAAAGCUCAUGCCAGUCCCAGUGAGUCAUCCCUGCCACCUCCUGCUUCUGGAUCAGAUGAAACUCAGCUACUGCUCCAGCACUAUGCCUGCCUGCUUCCAUGCUCCCCUCUGAAACUGUAAGCAAACUGUAAGAAAGUUAAAAGCUUUCUUUUAUAAAUUGUCAUGGUCAUAGUAUUUUGUCACGACAAUAGAAAAGUAAGACAGUAGGAUAAUGUAAUAACAUUUACCUGUGUACAUACUUUUAAACUCUGAGGCUUUGUACAUUUCUAGGUAAAUCUUAUAGAAAACACAAGACAGUAUUUCUACAAUGCAUGGUGUCAUCUAUAAUAACCAUGCUUUUGGCUUUGAAUGAAUCUAUGUAGCAGAUACAUAGCAAAGCAUUUACAACCUCUUAUAGAAAUCAACCAAGGAAGCCCUGACAAAACUAGUAUAUUUGGAAUUAUUGGUUAAAAGACUUUGAGGUGGAAAGUCCUUUCCGUUUUCUCUGUGGAUGAGCAUCCCAUUAGCUGUUUAUAUUAUAGACAUCUCUGUAUUGACAUAAAUAGUAACCUAUGCUGGAUAUAGUUAAUGUUAGUAUUCUAACCCGCCCCUCGGAAACCAAUGUUAGUAUUCUGACCUGCCCCUAGAUACCGCCUUGCAUCCUGAUGUAAAAGCCUUAUUUUACGGAAAAACCCUCCCUUUCCUCUCUUCCGCUCUCUUUCUUCCCCACCACGAGAUGCGCACACCCCUGCUUUUCCUGUCUUCUUUUCCUCUCUCCUUUCUGUCUUUCUGUCUCUUUAUCUCCUGUUAUAAUAAACUCAUUUCCACGAAUGGCUGUCUGCUGCAGCCCUGCCGUCAGGCCUGAAUAGCGUGGAUCUCCUGCCAGCCCCUCCACUCCCCACUGCAUCUGCCCUGCAUGCCAGCAUGUUUCCCUGCACACAUGGAAUACCCUCAGGGUCCCCCAUGCAAUAUAUCAUAACAGUUAAUUUAUUAGCUGACCUUAAGGGCACAGUGCCUUUACUCUUGGGUUGCUUUAUUAUUCUUUUCCUUGCCACAGAGUUGGGACCAGCCUGACGACCCAGGACGGAGGACAUUUUGAUACAAUGAUGUUUGAAUCUGAAGUGGGCCAGAUCCCAUAUCCAGAGUCAGCUUCUCAGGAAUCUUAAACAGUUCAUGAUAAUAUGCCAAUAUAAUAUAUAGAUAAAAGACAUUUGUUUUUCUGUAAAAUGAACUCAACAGUUUAAAAUCCAGAUACCUUAUAGAAUCCAGGAACUGGUGUCAAGGCCAAGGAUAAAGAUCAGGUGUUUGGACCUGCAUAGCUUACACAGUCUGUCCUGCUGGGGGCUGGACCUAACUAAAAACUGGCUGGGCCACUUCACUUUGCAGUGAGGCCGUGGUCUUGCAGCUGGCCAGGUUGCUGAGACUUCUUGGGUCUCUCGUCACAAAGAAGAGGCUGGGGUCUGUGAGAGGGCAUGGCUAUGCACCCUGCUGCCAUGGCUUUUACUCCAGCAGCUCCUGGUGGGUGCCAGAGCACAGAUGACAUUUUAUUGUGGCACACCUGGGACAAUUAAAAGCCAUCAACUAAAAAGUAGGUAUCAUAGCUGUGUGAGUUUAUUACUGGGUCCCCUAUUCUGUUCCAUUGGCCUACAUUUUUAUUUUUAUAGCAGUACCAUACUGUACUAUAGUAGUGCAGGCAGAUAUUACGAAUUCAGAGUCAGCCAGGUCUACACAGCAAGUUCCAGGCUGUUGUGAGACCCCUCCCCCAUAAUAAGAAUGUUAAGAUACAGCAAAUUAAAUGCUCUUAGAGUCCCAGAUAUACCCAGACAUCUGACAACCUUAAAGUUAGAAAUAUCCAAAGAUUUGGGUUAGCUCUUGGCCAAAUUAAAAUAUAUUUCCCUCAUCUGCUACCUUUACUUUUUUGGGUCACAGUGUGUCUUAUUAACUUUAGAAAUAAUAUGCAUAUAUUACAGGUAAAUGUUAUUCAGAUACAUAGGACAAAAGAAAAUACUCAGACCUAAACCAUGGUGACUAGUAGAUUCAGCAUGAUCCACAGAUUUCUUAAUGGCUUUACCAACCACCUUGCUCUACUGAAGACUGACCUCCUGCAUAGUCAGCCUCAUCUAUAGCAUGUCCUAGGAAGAAGCCUUUCUAGUACCAAGAGACAUAAGACAAUGUGUUCUAAAUACACGAAGUGAUGUGCUUGACUAACAGGGGAAGUAGAAACUCAAAUUCCCAGAACAAAAGUCACACCUUGGUUAUUAGACUUUCAGCAACUUACUUCAGCAUUUGUGGAGAGUUACAGGAUUACAGGCCCAGAGCUGUAUUGGAGAUCAUGACAAAACUUGAGUCAUCAGGAAGAGGGAAUGUCAGCUGAGACAUUGCCUCCAUUAGACUGGCCUGUAGGUAAAUCUGUGUGGCAUUUUCUUGGCUAGUGAAUGAUCAAUGUGGAAGUGACCAGUCCACUGUAGUACCAUACCUGGGCAAGUGGUUCUGGGGUAUAUAAAAAGCAAACUGAGCAAGCCAUGGGGUGCAGCCGUAUAAGCAGCACUGCCCCAUAGCCUCUGCUUCAGUCCUGCCGUGACUUCCCGUCAUGACGGACUGCAACUGUGAGCCGGGAUAAACUGCUUUCCUCCCCAGGUUGCUUUCGGCCAUAGUGUUUACCACAGCAACAGAAACCUAACUAAACAACAGCCAGAAUGAUUGGGGCUACUUUAGUCUCCUAACAUAGCAAUUUAAUAUUUUUUCAAGAGAAAUUUUAUGUGCAUGAGUAUUUUGCCUGCCUCUACAUCUGUGAAUCACCAUUUGUGAGCCUGGUGCCUGCAGAGGCCAGAAGAGGGCAUUUGAUUCCCCUGAAGCCAGAGUUACAGAUGUUGUGAGCCUCCAAGUUGGUGCUGGUAAUCUAACUCUGGUCCUCUGGAAGAGCAGAGUGCUCUUAACCACUGAGCCAUCCCCACUCCCCAUAGCCAAUUUCUUACCUGCCUCUGUGUGUGAUCUAACAUUCCUAUGACAGGACUCCUGGCAAAAAUGGUCAGUCCAACAGCUUGCCUCAUGUGAACCAGUGAAACAUCUGCAAUUCCUUUCUAGAACUCCCCCAACCAAAGAGAUAGUUGAUGAUUAUCUGCUGCUCUGAGACAUAGUGUUCCGGGUUGUAGUUCUAGCAUGCCCCUUUUCAUGUUAGACCUGUGUAUAAGAAUUUGCUUACUUUCUCCAGAGGGAAGUCAUUCUUUUGUAUUCCAGUGGUUGCCUUAGCUAAGCCUUUCUCUUCUUUUUGAUGUCAUAAACACCCUAAAAAUCUUCCUUUUGCCUCUUUUAUUCCCUUUCAUGUUCUCCACUUCUAAUAACCAGAUAAUCAAAUUAUUUCUUUCAAAUCUCACCCUUUCUAGCUAUCUGACUUCACUCAAGGCUGAAGCUACAUACAAAUGGCAUCUGCUCAAGAGUGGACUUUAUGAAACACAGGGAAAUAUAUGAGACCAGCCAUUAUGGUUCUCUGCCACUCAAUGAUUAUUACCCAUCUUUUCCCAAAAGGGUUUCUUAAGACAUUGCCUAAAAAUGUGCUACAUUCAUAAACUGACCGUAGUGGAAAUUUAUCUCACAGGGGCUCUUGUUUAACCUAGAAUCCAGCUAACAUUACCUUUCUGUUUUUAUAAUAAAGGGUCUGUGACCUACAUGUAAAAAAAAAAAUCUGCUAAUCCCUGCCAAUAUAUUUUCCUAGUGGAAACUCCAAAACUGUGUAAUCAUUUAGCCAAGAUUAACCUUAAGGGCAUUCUCAACAACCCUAUUCCAAACUGUCUUUACUCUGAUGCCUUCCCCUCCAACCUCCUCUAGCCUAACAAAAUACCAAAUAUAUUCUUCAGGGAGCUGAUACAAUAGAAACUUGGGUUUCAUAGGCAUUCCUUCCUCUGAUGGCAUCUGUUCUAUAUUAACUAUUAACCUUUCUAUUCACUCUCAACCCUUUCUUCUUAAACUUAUGUAUUGAUUUCUUCUAUAAUUCAACAAAUCCAAUUCCAAGUGGCUUUACAACACAUGGACAAUGUCCUGUUGAUGCAUAAAUUCAGAUACAAGCUCCUUACCCAAAGACUAAUAUCAGACUACCCAUUACCAGAUGAGAGGGGACCACCCCAAUCCAUUGAGGCCUCACUUCAGCAGGAAGCAUCCAGAGAUUUGAGUCAUAUGGCCCCCUAAUCCCUUUAUCCUCUCAUCUCCUUUCCUAUUAAAAAAUCCCUUAUUUUUAUUUUUAAGAUUUACUUUCAUUGUAUCUCUGUGUGUUUUGUCAGCAUGUAUGCAUGUGCAUCAUGUACAUGCCUGGUGCCCAUGGGCCAGAACAGGGUGUUGGGAUCCCCUAGUGCUGGAGUUAGAGGUGGCUGUGAAUCACCAUGUGGGUGCUACAGACUGAACCCACAUCUUCUGCAAGAGUAGCAAGUACUUUCAACUUCUGAGCCGUUGUCUUAGUUACUUUUCUAUUUCCAUGACAAGACACAUGACCAAGACAACUUACAGGAGAAAAGCAUUCAAGUGCCAGUAGAGUCCAUGACCAUGACGGUAAGGAGGAUGGCAGCAAGAGGCAGGCGUGGUGCUGGAAGCACAGCUAAGAGCUCUCAUCUGAUCUGUAAGAACGAGGCAGAGUGGGAGCUGACAAUAGUUUGGGCUUUUGAAAACUCAAAGCCCACCUCAGUGACACACCUCCUCCAACAAGGCCACACCUCCUAAUACUUCCUAAAAGUUCCACCAACUGAGGACCAAGCUUUCAAAUAUAUGAGCCUAUGGGGCCAUUCUCAUUCAAACCACCAUCCCAUCUCUCCAGCCUCACUCUGUCUUUUAAAAAUACUUUUUAUUGUUUGAAAUUUUUAUACAUGCAUAAAAUGUGUUUUGAUCAAGCCCCCUCCCCUUGUUCCUUCCACUCCAAUUCCUUCUCUAUCUUCCUGUCACUUUUCCCUCCCACUUUAUGUGCUCUUUUUAAAAACUCACUGAGUCCACUUAGUGUUGUCUGUGUGUGCAUGAGUGUAGGACUGUAUUAGCCACUGUUCUAUUGCUGUGAAGAGACACCAUGACCAAGGCAAUUCUUACAAAAGGAAGUAUGUAACUGGGGGCUUGCUUACAAUUUUAGAGGGUCAGUCCAUUGUCAUGGCGGGAGCAUGGCUCAAAGGCAGGACUGGUGCUGGAGAAGUAGCUGAGAGCUACAUCCUGAUCCACAGGCAGCAAGCAGAGAGAGAGAAAUAGAGACUCAGGCCUGGUGUGGGAUUUUGAAACCUCAAAGCCUACCCCCCCAGAGACAUAUCUCUUCCAGCAAGAACAUACCUACUACAGUAAGACCAUACUUCCUAAUCUUUCCAAACAGUUUGCCAACUGGGGGCGAAGCUCGAAAAUAUAUGAGUCUAAGGGGGCCAUCUACUAAAUCAUGGGGAGUCUCUCACAGCCCACAUCCCUAAUAAAAACUGGCGCUCCCUCUCCCAGAAAACAUCAAUAGCUCUUCAGAUGGGGUGGGACUUCCUGAGCACCUCCCUCCUUCAUGCAUGCUGGGAUUUUGAUGGCUUGAUCUUGUGUGUUCUUGUGCCUGGAGUCUCAGCUGCCCUGAGUUUAUAUGUGUAAUGGCAUCGUCACGUCUGGAAAUUGGUGUUUUGCCACUGGCAUCAAGUCCCUCUGGCUUUCAGUCUUUCUGUCCCUCAUCUGUGAAGAUCCCUGAGCCUUAAGGGAAGGGGUGUGAUGUAGAUGUCUCCUUUAGGGCUUAGCUUUCACAAGUUUGGGGUAAACACAUCCUGGUAUGGCCUUGAACUUGUCAGACCGGUACACAGGCUGGGGGGCCCUAAUGGUAUGAGAAAAGGCUGGUCAGGCCUUUGCUUUAAGCUACCAGAUUUUGCUCAGGUGAGCAGGUUGAGGAAGAAGCCAGCCAUCUUGGAAACUUGCCAUCUUUAUUACCUAGUCAUGGGCCCUCAUCUGUUGGCAGGGAGUCUGUCUAUUUCCUAGUCCUUCAGUUGGAUUUAUGCCACCACUAGCCCUAUAAGAAGAUGCCAUCAUUCAGAUGCUUAGGAACAAUUGGUAACACAAAUAGUUUUAAAAUAUUUAUUAAAUUUCAUACUUUUAAUGCAACUCAAAAAUACUUUAUUACCUAACUUUCCGCAUGUUUAUCCAUGACUAAAAAACUCAUUUUCUCUACUU